rnacentral:misc_RNA from 1 species
CAAACACACAACACAUACACUA